UGCUGAAGUCAGUAUUGUAAUGGUGAAUCAGGAUUUUUAAAUGAAGUGGGUUUGAAUACUCUUGACUGUUUUGUGAAAUCGAGUUACGUCUGUGAUUGAAGGAUUAAAAGGGUGUCUGUAGGAUUGAGUAUGCGGAGUGAAUGAAAUUUAUUGGGUUAAUCUAACAAGACAGUCAGUGGAUACAAGAUCGUAAGUACAAAGCAGUAUUGAAGG
rnacentral:lncRNA from 1 species